rnacentral:tRNA from 1 species
UGGCUUAGUCGGUAGAGCAUGAGACUCUUGAUCUCGAGGUUGUGAGUUUGAGCCCCAU